rnacentral:tRNA from 1 species
GGGGGUAGAGCUCAGUGAUCGAGUGUUUGACUGCACAUUAAGUGGUCCUUGGUUCAACUCCAAGUGCCCCCU